AAGAGUUGCAAAACUCCCAAACCCCUGUGAACAUACCAUUUGUUGCCUCGGCGGUGCCUGCUUCGGCAGCCCGCCAGAGGACCCAAACCCUUGAUUUUAUACAGUAUCUUCUGAGUAAAUGAUUAAAUAAAUCA
rnacentral:misc_RNA from 1 species